rnacentral:rRNA from 1 species
UGAAUACGAGACGCUACGGCGUCGAAGCAGUCUAUGUCAUACUUCCAAGAAAAGCUUGCACUGUCAUAAACAAAUAAUGCCUGUACCAUAACCGACACAGGUGGGUAGGUAGAGUAUACUAAGGGGCGCGAGAUAACUCUCUCUAAGGAACUCGGCAAAAUGACUCCGUAACUUCGGGAGAAGGAGUGCCUUAAGAAAUUAAGGUUGCAAUAACAAGAUCCAAGCAACUGUUUAUCAAAAACACAGGUCUCCGCUAAGUCGUAAGACGAUGUAUGGGGGCUGACGCCUGCCCAGUGCCAGAAGGUUAAAGAAGUCGGUUAGCAUUAGCGAAGCUGGUAACUGAAGCCCUGGUGAACGGCGGCCGUAACUAUAACGGUCCUAAGGUAGCGAAAUUCCUUGUCGGGUAAGUUCCGACCCGCACGAAAGGCGUAAUGAUUUGGAUUCUGUCUCGGAGAGUGACUCGGUGAAAUAGACUUGUCUGUGAAGAUGCGGACUACCUGCACCAGCACAGAAAGACCCUAUGAAGCUUUACUGUAACUUGAAAUUGAAAUUGGACUUUACUUGCGCAGUAUAGGUGGGAGGCUUUGAGAAUAUUCUUGCGGGAAUAUUGGAGCCAUCAGUGAGAUACCACUCUUGUAAUGUUAGAUUUCUAACUUUGUAUCAUUAUCUGGUCAAAGAACAGUUUCAGGCGGGCAGUUUGACUGGGGCGGUCGCCUCCUAAACGGUAACGGAGGCGCACAAAGGUUUCCUCUGAACGGGUAGAAAUCGUAUCUAGAGUGUAAAGGCAUAAGGAAGCUUGACUGUGAGACCUACAAGUCGAGCAGGGACGAAAGUCGGUCUUAGUGAUCUGACGGUGCUGAGUGGAAAGGCCGUCACUCAACGGAUAAAAGUUACUCUAGGAUAACAGGCUGAUCUCCCCCAAGAGUUCACAUCGACGGGGAGGUUUGGCACCUCGAUGUCGGCUCAUCGCAUCCUGGGGCGGUAGUACGUCCCAAGGGUUGGGCUGUUCGCCCAUGAAAGCGGUACGCGAGCUGGGUUCAGAACGUCGUGAGACAGUUCGGUCCAUAUCCGGUGUAGGCGUUAGAAUAUUGAGAGGAGCCUUCUUUAGUACGAGAGGACCGAGAAGGACAUACCUCUGGUGUACCAGUUAUCGUGCCAACGGUAAACGCUGGGUAGCCAUGUAUGGAGAGGAUAACCGCUGAAAGCAUCUAAGUGGGAAGCCCACCUCAAGAUAAGUAUUCUC